rnacentral:lncRNA from 1 species
ACUCAAAAUUUUGGAGUUCCCCUCUGGAUUUUUGGGGUUUCCUGAACUCAGAAUUUUGGGGUUCCCCAUUGGAUUUUUGGGCUUCCCCAUUGGAUUUUUGGGCUUCGUUUGACUUGGAAUUUUGGGGUUCCCUGGACUCAAAUCUUAGGGUUCCCCAUUGGAUUUUUGGGCUUCUCUGGACUCGGAUUUUGGGGUUCAUUGGACUCGGAAAUUUUGGGGUUCCCCAUUGGAUUUUUGGGCUUCACUGAACUGAGAAUUUUGGGGUUCAUUGGACUCGUAAUUUUGGGGUUCCCUGGAUUCAAAUCUUGGGGUUCCCCAUUGGAUUUUUGGGGUUCCCCGCUGGAUUUUUUGGGGUUCCCCAUUGGAUUUUUGGGCUUCACUGAACUCAGAAUUUUGGGGUUCAUUGGACUCGGAUUUGGGGUUCCCCAUUGGAUUUUUGGGGUUCCCCACUGAAAUUUUGGGUUUCCUGAACUCAGAAUUUUGGGGUUCCCUGGACUCAAAAUUUUGGGGUUCCCCAUUGGAUUUUUGGGAUUUCCUGAACUCAGAAUUUUGGGGUUCCCCAUUGGAUUUUUGGGGUUUCCUGAACUCAGAAUUUUGGGGUUCCCUGGACUCAAAAUUUUGGAGUUCCCCUCUGGAUUUUUGGGGUGUCCUGAACUCAGAAUUUUGGGGUUCCCCAUUGGAUUUUUGGGCUUCGUUGGACUUGGAAUUUUGGGGUUCCCUGGACUCAAAUCUUGGGGUUCCCCAUUGGAUUUUUGGGGU